rnacentral:rRNA from 1 species
CGGCGUGCCUAAUACAUGCAAGUCGAACGGUCUUUCUAUGGAAGCUUGCUUCCACUGAGAAGAUAGUGGCGAACGGGUGAGUAACACCGUGGGUAACCUGCCCAUAAGAGGGGGAUAACAUCCGGAAACGGGUGCUAAUACCGCAUAGUUUCUUGAUCGCAUGAUCGGGAAAGGAAAGACGGCCUUUGUGCUGUCGCUUAUGGAUGGACCCGCGGCGUAUUAGUUAGUUGGUGAGGUAACGGCUCACCAAGACGAUGAUACGUAGCCGACCUGAGAGGGUGAUCGGCCACAUUGGGACUGAGACACGGCCCAAACUCCUACGGGAGGCAGCAGUAGGGAAUCUUCCGCAAUGGACGAAAGUCUGACGGAGCAACGCCGCGUGAGUGAAGAAAGGUUUUCGGAUCGUAAAACUCUGUUGUCAGAGAAGAACAAGUUGGAGAGUAACUGCUCCAGCCUUGACGGUAUCUGACCAGAAAGCCACGGCUAACUACGUGCCAGCCGCGGC